GACGAACGCUGGCGGUGUGCUUAACACAUGCAAGUCGAGCGGAGCGGCGAACGGGUGAGUAACGCGUGAGUAACUGCCCCCCUCUCUGGGAUAACAGUUGGAAACGGCUGCUAAUACCGGAUAGUGGGGGAUGACUCGCGUCCUAUCAGCUUGUUGGUGGGGUAGUGGCCUACCAAGGCGACGACGGGUAGCCGGCCUGAGAGGGCAACCGGCCACAUUAGGCUGCGGUACGGCCCAGACUCGAACGGGGGGCAGCGGUGGGGAAUAUUGCGCAAUGGGGGCAACCCUGAGGCGGCAGCGCCGCGUGCGGGAUGACGUGCUGCGGGUUAUAAACCGCUUUCAGCCAUGACGCGGUAGUGGCAGAAGAAGCACCGGCUAACUACGUGCCAGCAGCCGCGGUAAUUC
rnacentral:rRNA from 1 species